GCAUUUAGAGAGCUGCAAGCACAUGAUAAAGGAUUUAAAGACUUUUGUGAUGAAUGUCAAAGCCAGAAGAUUGCAAGGCGUAAUGAGUGGGUGGCUGCGAAGAAAAAGGAGUUGGGCUUGUAGGUUGAGGAGAUGCAACUUCUUGAAUCUUUAUCAAAAGAUUAUUAUGAAUCUUGUUUGUUUUCACCAUGUUGUUUGUUUUUAUGGUUCUAAUGUUGUUUGUUAUUAUGAUGGAAUGUUGUUGUUAGAACAUAGAAUGUUUGCUUUUUGUGAUUUUCUCUAUGAUGGAAUGUUGUUUGUUGGCAAGUAAAA